rnacentral:rRNA from 1 species
UUACAUAGCUAUUACAUAGCUAGCUCUCUGUAACUUUGACAUUGUCGCCCACUAAAGCUUUGCAAUGCUGUGUGUGGUAAGCACCUGGAUGGGAGACCACAUGGGAACGCUAGGUUGCUAGGAAGU